AGGACUCCCAGCCUGUGGAAGGAAAGGAUGGUGAAAUUAGACCCAUUACAUCUUCUGGAGAAACUGGAAGGGGCUUGCAGUAGGUUGAAUGGUGGCCGCCCCAGAAGAUAUGUCCUUGGAACCUGCUAAUGAAACCUUACUUGAAAAAGGCAUCUUUGGGCCGGGCACAGUGGCUCACACCUGUAAUCCCAGCACUUUGCGAGGCCAAGGCCAGUGGAUCACCUGAAGUCAGGAGUUCAAGACCAGCCUGGCCAACAUGGCGAAAUCCCAUCUCUACUAAAAAUACAAAAAGUAUCUGGGUGUGGUGGUGGGUGCCUGUAACCCCAUCUACUCGGGAGCCUGAGGAAGGAGAAUAACUUGAACCUGGGAGGCAGAGGUUGCAGUGAGCCGAGGUCGCGCCACUGCACCCCAGCCUGGGCGACAGAGCGAGACUCCGUCUCAAAAAAAAAAAAAAAAAAAAAAAAAAAAAAAAAAAAAAAAAAAAGAGAGAGAGAGAAAGGCAUCUUUGUCAAUGUAUUUAAGUUAAGGAUCUUGAGAUGAGAUUAUCCUGGAUUGUCCAGUUAACCCUGAAUCCAGUGACAAGUGUCUUUAAAAGAGAUACACAGAGGAGAAGACAGACACAAAGAGAGAAGGUGAUGUGAAGAUGGGGGCAGAGAUUGGAGGGACGCAGCUACAAGCCAAGAAAACCAAGGAUUGCUGGCAGCCACCAGAGGCUGGGAGAGAGGCCUGGGUUGAGACGGCCUCAGAGCCUCCAGAGGGAGCCUGGUCCUGCUGACACCUCAGUUUUGGAGUUCUGACCUCCAGAACUAUGAGAAAAUAAAUUUCUGUUGUUU
rnacentral:lncRNA from 1 species